rnacentral:rRNA from 1 species
UACGUAGGUGGCAAGCGUUGUCCGGAUUUACUGGGUGUAAAGGGCGUGUAGGCGGGUUUUUAAGUCAGAUGUGAAAUACCGGGGCUCAACUUCGGGGCUGCAUCUGAGACUGGAGAUCUUGAGUACUGGAGGGGAAAGUGGAAUUCCUAGUGUAGCGGUGAAAUGCGUAGAGAUUAGGAGGAACACCAGUGGCGAAGGCGGCUUUCUGGACAGUAACUGACGCUGAGGCGCGAAAGCGUGGGGAGCAAACAGGAUUAGAUACC